rnacentral:rRNA from 1 species
AGUGAACGCUGGCGGUAGGCCUAGCACAUGCAAGUCGAACGGCAACACAGUAAGAGCUUGCUCUUACGGGUGGCGAGUGGCGGACGGGUGAGGAAUACAUCGGAAUCUACUUUUUCGUGGGGGAUAACGUAGGGAAACUUAAGCUAAUACCGCAUACGACCUAAGGGUGAAAGCAGGGGAGCUUCGGACCUUGCGCGAUUGAAUGAGCCGAUGUCGGAUUAGCUAGUUGGCGGGGUAAAGGCCCACCAAGGCGACGAUCCGUAGCCGGUCUGAGAGGAUGAUCAGCCACACUGGAACUGAGACACGGUCCAGACUCCUACGGGAGGCAGCAGUGGGGAAUAUUGGACAAUGGGCGCAAGCCUGAUCCAGCCAUACCGCGUGGGUGAAGAAGGCCUUCGGGUUGUAAAGCCCUUUUGUUGGGAAAGAAAAGCAGCAGGUUAAUACCCCGCUGUUCUGACGGUACCCAAAGAAUAAGCACCGGCUAACUUCGUG